rnacentral:rRNA from 1 species
UACGUAGGGAGCAAGCGUUGUUCGGAGUUACUGGGCGUAAAGGGCGCGUAGGCGGCUUUUUAAGUUUGGUGUGAAAUCUCCCGGCUCAACUGGGAGGGUGCGCCGAAUACUGAGAGGCUAGAGUGUGGGAGAGGAAAGUGGAAUUCCUGGUGUAGCGGUGAAAUGCGUAGAUAUCAGGAGGAACACCGGUGGUGUAAGCGGCUUUCUGGACCAUAACUGACGCUGAGGCACGAAAGCGUGGGGAGCAAACAGG